UACCAGCACCCCGAGUGGUCGGGACGAUUAUUGGGCCUAAAGCAUCCGUAGCCGGUCAUGCAAGUCCUCCGUUAAAUCCACCUGCUUAACAGAUGGGCUGCGGAGGAUACUACAAGGCUAGGAGGCGGAAGAGGCAAGCGGUACUCAGUGGGUAGGGGUAAAAUCCUCUGAUCCAUUGAAGACCACCAGUGGCGAAGGCGGCUUGCCAAUACGCGCUCGACGGUGAGGGACUGAAAGCUGGG
rnacentral:rRNA from 1 species